AUACGCCCGGUUGGCUGGCCGGACGGGCAUCGCUUUCGGAUUCGGAUUUGGAUUCGGCAUCGGGUUGUGCGCCGGGAUCGGGCCAUGAUGGUGGUGCAUUUGGGAAAAGCAAGCCACAAGUGGUCAUUCAGACAAAUGGCCAAAUGGCGGGGCUCAUGAAUAAUUCAGAUUUUAAAUUGCAUUUAUGCAAAUGCGGAUGCUCGCAGAUUUUCGCCACUAGCUGUCGCGUUAGUCCGGGAAAAAGAGAGCCGGAGUGGGAGCCCCCGGUGCCCGGGAGCCCCGAAACCGGGGAACCUCCGAAACCCGUGAACCCGAGGGCAAUGCAUUUGCAGCUUAAUGCGCCGAAAGCUGCGAGUUUUUGCGCUAAUGCACAAUUUGUAUGCGUCAACACUUUCGUCAGCCGAAAAAUGGGUUGGUGGGAUGGUGGGGGGUGGGGGGUUCCCAUCCUCAUGGGCUUCGUCCUUAUCAACGCAAAUAUCAAAAACCCUAUUGAUAAGACCGCCCGGUAGCCACCCCCCAAAGAAAUGGAGGCCAAGUGACUCAGUGACCUGCAAGACAUAAAAUCCCGUCCAAUCCCGGGCCACCUGUUCCCCGGGCCAACUCUUUGGCAAUUUGUGUGCAUCGCCGACUGCAGAUGUUUUUCCUCCACUCAGUUCGAGGUCUCGCUCCAGAAACUUGCAGAUUUAUUGCCCAGAAACUUUUAUUGCCUGCAAGAAUAUGUACGGGCCGAGAUAAAGAUGCAAUCUGGAACUUGUUUGGCGAGUGAAACACUUUGCCAUCUGCCAUCCGAAAGUGUGUGGGGUAAUUGAAGUCACUCAGUCGAGGAGGUGGCACUUUUCCAGGUCGCAUUUGUCUGCCUGUCUGUCUGUCCAUUUCGGUUCCGUUUCAAAGAUUUAGGCAAUUGAAAGACAAUUAAACAUAGGACUCCACUGCUCUUCUGUAUGGAUCCUGAGGAUGUCCUUUAAAAUCUUGAAUACAUUUGGGGUAUUUGAUAUGGUCCCUCAAAUGCAAAGUGGAUCGCAAACAUGCCUAGUAGUUAAUACGAAGGAAUAAAUGGAAUAAAGAAUUCACAGAAAGGUCUGGUUCUCCAUGUCAGUUCACCUUAAGCCCGAUUGUAAGAUGCUAACCAUUUGGGACACUCUAAUGGGAGCUCUUCGAGGGAAAUCAAUCUAAUGGAAAUAAUAGACCCUUCGACAGUGGCAACAACAGUGGCCCAACUAAAUGAUGCUAAUCGGAUUUGAAAACGAGAAGCAGAGGGUAUCGCUUUCCCCUCGAACGAGUGCAAAGAAAAGACGCAGUUGGCCAAAAGUGGGUUUUUUGGCCAACAGUCGGACAAUGGCCGAAGGGUCGAGCCAUCGCUCAGAGAUGCUUCACUUUUAUUUCGUUCCCUAAGGUAAGGAUACAUCUGCAUAAAUACCUCUUUAAUAUUAUAAGUAUUUAAAGAAGGUGCUGAAAAGUAUUUGAUAAUAUAAACAACAUUCUGCACUGAUGAUUAAAUGUGUCUCUUAUCCUUGCCCAACUUAAUCGAUCAAAGAGUCCUGGUUGACUUCCAUUUCCAGGGGUCGAAGCCAUCAAUUGACAACAAUUGACAACUAUGCCCUGGGCCAGGACAAACAGGCUACAACCGCAUUGAAAUGGACAGCAAUCCCCUCCCUUUCGAGGAAUUUGUGUGGUGGCUCGUCAUUCGAGGCGAAGCGAGUCGAUUGGAUAUUCAUUUAUGCGCCUCAAAGAUAAGCACUAAAUAAAUAAAUGCCCACAGAGGGCGAGAAAAUGUAAAUAAAUGACUGCAAAAAUAUGGCAAAAAUCGAAGUCAAGCGCCGCCGGGUGAUUCGUAUGGAAAUGAAAUGGAACGGCUGUCCUUCGAGUCCUUGCCCAGAAGGAUGUGUCUGUAAAUUGUUCACGGCCUGCCUUAAAUUACAACUGUCAAUCGAAUCGGGGAAAGGAUAAUACGACCAGGACGAUCUUAUCUGUUGGGUGCGUGUUUACGCACAUAUGGUGGCUGAAAUCAAAACAUCAUGAAAUUGUUUUUCCAACAUCAUUUGCUGGCUGAAAUUUCCAUUUUUGGCUGGCUACGUAUUUCCGUGCGUUUACAGAGGGGAUAUGAACAACAUCCGGCGUAUUCGGGCCAUCAUUUCCAACAGCCCUUCACUACUCAUUGCAUUUGGCCAAACCGACCAACCAACCGAUUUGGUUAUUACAAACUCAUAUCUUGUGCCGCUCGCAACCGAAGUGACCGCAGGACCAAAGGAUGUGGCAUUCCGGGCGGUGGACAUGGGGCACCGACCGAUUUGGGGGCGAUGCUAAAAAUUGUUCAAAAUUUGCAUUUUAUAUUAACGGAAACAGUUGUUGCCUUUGAGCACACAAGCUCCCCCAGCUGGAACCCACAUCCACAGCCACAUCCACAUCCACAUCCUCAUCCAUCCACAUCCAUCCGCAUCCGCAUCCGCUGCUCUUGUCCGGCCUGCUACACAAUUCUAAAGCAAAUUUGACGCGUUUAUGCAUGUAAAUUAAACAAAUUUGAUUUUAAAUAU
ensembl:ncRNA lncRNA:TS11 long noncoding RNA: testis-specific 11